UACGGAGGGUGCAAGCGUUAUCCGGAAUCAUUGGGUUUAAAGGGUCCGCAGGCGGUCUUAUAAGUCAGUGGUGAAAGCCUACAGCUCAACUGUAGAACUGCCAUUGAUACUGUAAGACUUGAAUUCGAUCGAAGUGGGCGGAAUAUGACAUGUAGCGGUGAAAUGCUUAGAUAUGUCAUAGAACACCGAUAGCGAAGGCAGCUCACUAGGUCUGGAUUGACGCUCAGGGACGAAAGCGUGGGGAGCAAACAGGAUUAGAUACCCUGGUAGUCCACGCCGUAAACUAUCAAUACUCGUUCUCAGCCCUUCAGGGGUUGGGGACCAAGCGAAAGUGAUAAGUAUUGCACCUGGGGAGUACGAUCGCAAGGUUGAA
rnacentral:rRNA from 1 species